rnacentral:misc_RNA from 1 species
GAUGAAGAACGUAGCGAAAUGCGAUAAGUAAUGUGAAUUGCAGAAUUCAGUGAAUCAUCGAAUCUUUGAACGCACAUUGCGCCCCCUGGUAUUCCGGGGGGCAUGCCUGUUCGAGGGUCAUUUCAACCCUCAAGCUCUGCUUGGUAUUGAGUCCAUGUCAGCAAUGGCAGGCUCCAAAAUCAGUGGCGGCGCCGCUGGGUCCUGAACGUAGUAAUAUCUCUCGUUACAGGUGCUCGGCGUGCUUCUGCCAAAACCCCAAUUUUUCUAUGGUUGACCUCGGAUCAGGUAGGGAUACCCGCUGAACUUAAGCAUAUCAAUAAGCGGAGGA